rnacentral:rRNA from 1 species
AUUGAACGCUGGCGGCAGGCCUAACACAUGCAAGUCGAGCGAGAGGCGGACGGGUGAGGAAUGUCUGGGAAACUGCCUGAUGGAGGGGGAUCACUACUGGAAACGGUAGCUAAUACCGCAUACCAUCAGAUGUGCCCCGAUGGGAUUAGCUAGUAGGUGGGGUAACGGCUUAACUAGGGGACGAUCCCUAGCUGGUCUGAGAGGAUGACCAGCCACACUGGAAAUGAGACACGGUCCAGACUCCUACGGGAGGCAGCGGUGGGGAAUAUUGCACAAUGGUCGCAAGCCUGAUGCAGCCAUGCCGCGGGUGUGAAGAAGGCCUGCGGGUUGUAAAGCACUUUCAGCGGGGAGGCGUUACCCGCAGAAGAAGCACCGGCUAACUCCGUGCCAGCAGCCGCGGUAAUAC